UUUUUUUGUGUUUAAACAACUAUGUGUAUUUGCGAUAUCUUAGCUUGAUGCAAUGAUAUAUGUUUACAAGUUUUUACUUGCACCUGAACACCGUGUUAUGUACCGAAAUCAAAGUUUGCGUACAAAAAAAUUUUUCUUGGCAGGCAACACUUUUUGUUGACAUAAGUAGACAUAUUUUGAUUGCUGCCAACCUAAUUAUUUUCAUCUGAUUUUUCACGAGGCGCAUCAAAUGAUACACUCGCCUUAACAGAGCUCAUGGGCUGACGUUUGGUGCCUGUAGUUUUUUUUUUAUGAAAAUUUUGGGUAGUAGAAUGUCUAAAAUUAUCAAAAAUAUUAAUUUUGUCGCGCGCAAAUUUAUAGUUGAAAAGUUAUAAACAUUUAAAGCUGCACUUUUUAUAUGCCAA